rnacentral:misc_RNA from 1 species
GAUGAAGAACGCAGCGAAAUGCGAUACGUAAUGUGAAUUGCAGAAUUCAGUGAAUCAUCGAAUCUUUGAACGCAUAUUGCGCUCUCUGGUAUUCCGGAGAGCAUGCUUGUUUGAGUAUCAGUAAACACCUCAACUUCCAUAUCUUUUUUGAAAUGGGAGUUGGACUUGAGUGAUCCCAACGCUUUUCCUCACCGAAAAGUGGCGGGUUACUUGAAAUGCAGGUGCAGCUGGACUUUUCUCUGAGCUAUAAGCAUAUCUAUUUAGUCUGCUUAAAAAACAGAUUAUUACCUUUGCUGCAGCUAACAUAAAGGAGAUUAGUUCUUGUGCUGACUGAUGCAGGAUUCACAAAGACAGGCUUCGGCCGACUUUGUAAACUCGAUCUCAAAUCAAGUAAGACUACCCGCUGAACUUAAGCAUAUCAAUAAGCGGAGGA